UCCAUCAACAAAGUUGGGGUUAGGAGGAAUUUUCCUAUCAAUGAAGUAGAGGAGGCGGCGUUUGGAGAGCGGCGAGAGAGGGAGAGGAAAAUAUCAAGGAUAGACAUGGAGAAGCUAUCUUUCCAUGGAAGGAUUGGUUUGGUGGUUGAGGCCAUGGUGGAGUGAUGAUAUUGUUAUCGUUGUGUUGAGUUAACUUGCUUUUACAUGAUGAAAGAAGAUAAGAAAUGAAGGAGAGAAGGAUGUUGAUAAUUGUUUGUUUGUGUGGAGACUUUCAAUAUUAAGAUUAGGUAUCAGUAAUUGAGGUAACACAUAUAUUUUUUUUUUUUUUAAGAUUAGGCAUCUAAUUUAUUGACUAAUUCGAAGAACAUCAAUUUCACUAUUUAUUAGCAAGAAGUUUAUUUAAAAGGUUUAAGUGCAAUUUUGACCCCUCAAGUUUUAUAAUUGUUCGAUUUUGGCAUUCAAAUUUUAAAAUUGCUCGAUUUAAGCUCCACAAAUUUCAAUUGUUCGAUUUUAGCCCAAAGUUUACCCCCUUUUGGAUUUGCUAGCCUCCGUUGACUUUUUUAACUAAAAUUUGCUUAUGUGACAUUUUUUAUUUUAUUUUUGGUUGAUGCUUAUGUGACAUUUUAAAUAUUAAAAAAAUAAAUGAAAAUUUGUUUUUUUAAAAAGAACUUAUAAAAUAAUAUUGUUAUAAAGAAAUUGUUUACAAAUUUUUUUAAGAAUUAUUUUUUAAAACAAGUAAUUAUUAAACCUUUUAUUAAAAAAACAAAUUUUAGUACAUUUUUUUAAACAAAUAUUUUUAUCUUAUUAAAGUAUUUUUUUUACUUUAAAACAUAUUUUUAAUUUUAGAAACAUUUUUUAUUUAUUUUAAAAAUAUUUUUUAAAUUUUAAAUUGUCACAUAAAAUUUUUAGUCAAAAAAAAUCAACGGGGAGCUAUCAAAUGCAAAAGAUAGUAAACUUUGGGGGUUAAAAUCAAACAAUUGUGAAAUUUAAAGGAUUAAAAUUAAGCAAUUGAAAUUUGAGGCCAAAAUUACAAAAUUGUAAAAUUUAAAGAGUUAAAACUACAUUUAAGCCCAUUUAAAAUUAGAACUUUUAUUCUAUAUGAUUUUUUUUGUUGAUAAUUUUAUUCUAUACAAUUCUAUGAACUGAUCUAAUAUAAAAAAUAAUGUAAUAUUGAAAGGUUUUUUAUUUUAUUUUUUUGACGCAAUAUUGAAAGGUUUAAAACCUAAAGUUUUAUGAGAUGUUACACUCUUGCUUAAAAAAAAAAGAAGAUAACGUUCCAAACCUUCGGCAGCGAAUCAUAUGGGUUAAGAUAACACAUUAAUUAUUGAUUAGUACCUUGAUUUGAUUUCUUCCAAAUGAUAUUUUUCGGUUCACAUUAUUAAGAACUACUUUAAGAACCGAGUCCUUUGUCUUGUCUGGGCAUCGAUUAAAACUUUGUAUACAUACUGUUUGUAAAUCUUUUAGAUCUUUUUCUGGCACAACUCGUGCUAGGGAGGAUCCAGUGUUGGUUUUAAUAUAAUUCAUUUUAGUUUCUGAAAAAAAAAAACUAUUUUAAGAACUGAUCUAAUAUAAAAAAUAAUAUUGAAAUAUUGAAAGGUUUAAAACCUAAAAGGGUAAAAUAUGUUUUCCGUUCCUACUUUUAUAUUGAGUUUUGAUUUUCGUCCCUAUAUUUUAAAAUCACUCGUUUUUGUCUCCAAUUAAUUGUCAACAGAAUUCAACGUGGCAUAGCCACGUCACGUAGACUUUUGUUAGUCAACUGUUAAUUUACUUAACAUUUGAGACAAAAACCAAAACUGACAAUUAAUUGAGAACAAAAACGAGUGAUUUUAAAAUAUAGGGACGAAAACAAAAACUCUAUAUAAAAGUAGUACCGAAAAUAACACGUUAAUUACCAAACCUUUCAAUAUUACACUCUUGCUUAAAAAAAAGAUGUUACACUCUAACGUUCCAAACCUUCAUUACCAAACCAUAUGGGUUAAGAUAACACAUUAAUUAUUGAUAACCUUGAUUUGAUUUUCUUCCAACUUGGAUGAUAUUUUCCUGUUCUGGAUAACUAACAAGCUGUAAUAACUAACAAGCUGUUCUGCAUUACUAUCUCCAGCUUGGAAUCUAGUAAUAACUAACAAGCUGUUAUGGAUACACAUACACUGGUAGCAUUGAGAAGAUUAUGGAAGAAAAAUGUUUGAUCAAAAGUUAUAGUGUUUUCGGUUAGCGGUUGUUACUUGAAAAAUUAUCAAUCCGGAAGGUUUUAUUUCGCAAAGGUAUUAUCACAAAUAAUCAUGAGAGAAGUUGCGUAUUUUGCUUCAAAGAGAUAGAGGACAUACAACACAUUUUUUUCACUUGCUGCAUUACUUCACAAAUUUGGCAGAAAUUAUUUGUUUGGUUGGGCACUAAUGUCAUCCCUUUUGAGAACGUUAGAAGCCAUUUCUCUUUGUUUGGUGAAUUAGCAAAAGACAAUCAUAGCAAGCGAAUUCGUCAUAUAAUUUGGUUGGCGACGACGUGAAGUAUUUGGUGUACGUGUAAUAACAUUAUUUUUAGAGGAGGCUGUGUCAAUAUAUCAUCUUUAGUGGAGCAAGUUGUUUAUUUUUCUUGGUUUUGGUUUAUAGGCCGAACAGGGA
rnacentral:lncRNA from 1 species